AUGUCACUGAAUGGCAAUUCUGUGUCAUUGAAUGACAGACACGGUCUUACCAUGCAGCCCAGGCUGCCCUGGAAAUCAUGGCAAUCCUCCUGCCUCAGCCUCCCAAGUGCUGCGAUUGCAGGCCUGUACAACCACACCAAGCUGAUUUUUAUUUUUGAACUUGUGGAGAUCCUCCUGCCUCAUCCACCCAAUUGCUAGGGUCACAGGUGUUUACCAUUACCAGUGUCACUUGUCUUUCUUUUUUUAUUUUUUAUUUUCUUGGUACCGGGGAUGGAACUUGGGACCUUGUGCUUGCGAGGCAGGCGGUGGCACCACUGAGCUACAUCCCCAGCCCUCUUCUUGUCUUUCUGAUCCCCUGCCACCCUCACUGCAGUGGUUUGGGGCCCUUUGUCCAAUUUCAGCAAAGGAGAACUCAGCUGAGUGGGGGCAGCAGCCAGUUUGCCUUGGAUUCUGGAGUAGAAAUCUCAUGGAGUCAGUUUAACUGAAAUCCCAGCCGGGAUGGCCAGGCCGAGAUGGUUCCUCUCAGUAAUCUUCUGUCCACUGAGCCUUUGCUUGGCUGUGAAUCGCCACCUCUCUGAUCGCUCCCCUGCUCCCCUCCAGUGGUGAUACCCCAUUGAGCAGCCCACUUGAAUGACAUUGACCUGCCUGUUGUGGUUUUUUUUUUAAAGUCCUUUGUUUGUUCUACCCAGUGUUCUUACCUCUGUUGUUUUUUGUUUUGUUUUGUUUUGAGACAGGGUCUCACUUGUACUUGAGACUGAACUGGAUCUCACCACGUAGUCUGGGCUGGUCUCAAACUCACAGUGAUCCUCCUGUUUCAGCCUCCCAACUGCUGGGAUCCCAGGUGGGGGCCACCAGCUGGGUUUUGCCUUUACUGUUCUUUAAGGGAUGAUAUGAAUCGCUUUUUUCUUUAACAGGCCCUGGGGAAGGCCCAUGUCUUUUUAAUGUCCUGCACCAUCAGCGCUGGCUGAGGUUUCUCGUCCCAGCCCCAGGCUGGGUGGCCCCUCCCUCCGCAUCCCACACACUUGACACUGGGCAGAGGGGGGUGACUGGCAAGGAGAAGCUCCCCACACACCCUGGCAUUGGUUAGCGAGGGGCACAUGGGUCACCACUCCCAAGGCGGGCGGUGGGCUCCUGCACCCUAGAAACCUGCUGCCCUCACGGCUGAGACCCAGGAGGAAGGGGGCAGCAGGCGGAAUCCCAGCUUCACCUGUGUCAAGAGCCUCCCACCGCCCCCCAACAGCACAGGGACCCCUUGAACCUGUAUCGCGACCCACACCUUAGCUCCUGACCCAUUUUGAGCUGACUGUCGGGGGCUGGAAACCAGGGAGCUCUGAGUUACGUCCCCAUUCUUUGGGAACACUUUUAUUUUGAGACCAGAUCUCACCAAGUUGCCCGGGCUGGCAUUGAAUCUGGGAUCCUCCCGCCUCAGCCUCCCAAGAAACUGGGAUUAUAGACAUGUGCCACCACGCCCAGUGUGAGGUGAUUUUCGUAACUGGUGAGAGACAGGGGUCUCGUUCCUGCAUGUGAAUGUCCAAUUUGCCUGCACCAUUGAUUGAAAAGACCCUUCCUUCUCCAACCGGUCUCUUGCACCUUGG
rnacentral:lncRNA from 1 species